GACGAACCGUCCAAACGUUGUUCGGAAUCACUGGGCUUAAAGGGCGCGUAGGCGGACUGCCAAGUCCGGGGUGAAAUCUUUCGGCUUAACCGGAAAAGAGCCUUGGAAACUGGCGGUCUCGAGGGAGGUAGGGGCCUGUGGAACUUCGGGUGGAGCGGUGAAAUGCGUUGAUAUCCGAAGGAACGCCGGUGGCGAAAGCGACGGGCUGGAUCUCUUCUGACGCUGAGGCGCGAAAGCCAGGGGAGCAAGCGGG
rnacentral:rRNA from 1 species